AUUGAACGCUGGCGGCAGGCCUAACACAUGCAAGUCGAGCGGAUGAAGGGAGCUUGCUCCUGGAUUCAGCGGCGGACGGGUGAGUAAUGCCUAGGAAUCUGCCUGGUAGUGGGGGAUAACGUCCGGAAACGGGCGCUAAUACCGCAUACGUCCUGAGGGAGAAAGUGGGGGAUCUUCGGACCUCACGCUAUCAGAUGAGCCUAGGUCGGAUUAGCUAGUUGGUGGGGUAAAGGCCUACCAAAGCGACGAUCCGUAACUGGUCUGAGAGGAUGGUCAGUCACACUGGAACUGAGACACGGUCCAGACUCCUACGGGAGGCAGCAGUGGGGAAUAUUGGACAAUGGGCGAAAGCCUGAUCCAGCCAUGCCGCGUGUGUGAAGAAGGUCUUCGGAUUGUAAAGCACUUUAAGUUGGGAGGAAGGGCAGUAAGUUAAUACCUUGCUGUUUUGACGUUACCAACAGAAUAAGCACCGGCUAACUUCGUG
rnacentral:rRNA from 1 species